CCUACGGGAGGCAGCAGUGAGGAAUAUUGGUCAAUGGGCGGGAGCCUGAACCAGCCAAGUCGCGUGAGGGACGACGGUCCUAUGGAUUGUAAACCUCUUUUGUCGGGGAACAAAGGCGCCCACGGGUGGGCGGAUGAGUGUACCCGAAGAAAAAGCAUCGGCUAACUCCGUGCCAGCAGCCGCGGUAAUACGGAGGAUGCGAGCGUUAUCCGGAUUUAUUGGGUUUAAAGGGUGCGCAGGCGGUCUGUUAAGUCAGCGGUCAAAGCCCGGGGCUCAACCCCGGCCCGCCGUUGAAACUGGCAGUCUCGAGUUGGAGAGAAGUAUGCGGAAUGCGCGGUGUAGCGGUGAAAUGCAUAGAUAUCGCGCAGAACUCCGAUUGCGAAGGCAGCAUGCCGGCUCCACACUGACGCUGAGGCACGAAAGCGUGGGUAUCGAACAGGAUUAGAUACCCUGGUAGUC
rnacentral:rRNA from 1 species